ACUUUGACGUUUCAGUCAAUCGCGAGUUGACGUUUAAAAAAAAAAAAAAAUUAUAUAUGUGUACACACACAUAUGAAAGGCGUGAGAGAGGUCAAUUUUUUGUUGUGAGUUGUAAGGACUUAUUUUUUUUUUUGUUUUUAUUGAAGUGACUGAGUGUGAGAAAAAGUUUAAAAUUUUUUUGUUUAACAGUUUUUCAAAAUUUCGUUGUUCGGAAAAUUAUGGAGAUUAAAGAAUGAAAUUUUUAUCGGGUUAUAGAGGAAGGUUCAUAGAAACUUUUGUAUAAAAUUAGAAGUCGAUAGGGUAAUUAGGGCCAGAGUUAUGGUGACAAAGUUCAAUUCAAAGUAUAAUUCUACAAAUUUUUUUAUAACAAUUUUUAUCUUAAUUUUACUUCCGUAUUAAGUCGUCCUUGAUUUCACAUACAUAUUGUAUAUAUAAGUACAUAUUUAUAUAAAAAUAAAAUAAACACAUAAAAAAAAUUAAACAAUUUCCUGAGACGAGAAAACGCGGCAGGACGUCAACAUAUGUCGGAUUUAUCGUCUGUGAAAUCGAUAAUUCACUUAUAUUUAUAUUUUUAUAUAUUAUUAUUAUUAUCACUCGAUUUAUAAGAUUAAAAACAAAAGCAGGUGUUUCCAGGGAAACAGCCAACCAAAUUAAGGGUUUAAAAGGGUCAUUCGAAAGGAAAUUUAACUGGCUACAAUUUUUACCGGAUAUAAAAAUUUUGCGGGAGUGAUAGUUUCAGAGAUAAUAGCGACAAAAGGUCAAAAAGUUUUUAUCUUACAAUUAAUUCAAUUAUUUUUAUUCUUAAUAAUUUUUUUUUGAGCCA